rnacentral:rRNA from 1 species
GAUGAACGCUGGCGGCGUGCCUAAUACAUGCAAGUCGAGCGAACAGACGAGGAGCUUGCUCCUCUGACGUUAGCGGCGGACGGGUGAGUAACACGUGGAUAACCUACCUAUAAGACUGGGAUAACUUCGGGAAACCGGAGCUAAUACCGGAUAAUAUAUUGAACCGCAUGGUUCAAUAGUGAAAGACGGUUUUGCUGUCACUUAUAGAUGGAUCCGCGCCGCAUUAGCUAGUUGGUAAGGUAACGGCUUACCAAGGCAACGAUGCGUAGCCGACCUGAGAGGGUGAUCGGCCACACUGGAACUGAGACACGGUCCAGACUCCACGGGAGGCAGCAGUAGGGAAUCUUCCGCAAUGGGCGAAAGCCUGACGGAGCAACGCCGCGUGAGUGAUGAAGGUCUUCGGAUCGUAAAACUCUGUUAUUAGGGAAGAACAAAUGUGUAAGUAACUAUGCACGUCUUGACGGUACCUAAUCAGAAAGCCACGGCUAACUACGUG